GGUGAGUAACACGUGGAUAACCUACCUAUAAGACUGGGAUAACUUCGGGAAACCGGAGCUAAUACCGGAUAAUAUAUUGAACCGCAUGGUUCAAUAGUGAAAGACGGUUUUGCUGUCACUUAUAGAUGGAUCCGCGCUGCAUUAGCUAGUUGGUAAGGUAACGGCUUACCAAGGCAACGAUGCAUAGCCGACCUGAGAGGGUGAUCGGCCACACUGGAACUGAGACACGGUCCAG
rnacentral:rRNA from 1 species